rnacentral:rRNA from 1 species
UGGGGAAUAUUGCACAAUGGAGGGAACUCUGAUGCAGCGACGCCGCGUGAGUGAUGAAGGUAUUCGUUUCGUAAAACUCUGUUCUAUGGGAAGAAAAGGACUGUACCAUAGGAGAAAGCUCCGGCUAAAUACGUGCCAGCAGCCGCGGUAAUACGUAUGGAGCGAGCGUUGUCCGGAAUUAUUGGGCGUAAAGGGUGCGCAGGCGGCUUUACAAGUUGGAUGUGAAAUAUUGUGGCUCAACCACAAACGUGCAUCCAAAACUGCAAAGCUUGAGUUAAGGAGAGGUAAGUGGAAUUCCUGGUGUAGCGGUGGAAUGCGUAGAUAUCAGGAGGAAUACCGGUGGCGAAGGCGACUUACUGGACUUAAACUGACGCUCAGGCACGAAAGCGUGGGGAGCAAACAGG